AAUGAACGUUGGCGGCGUGGAUUAGGCAUGCAAGUCGCGCGAGAAGUCAUUUAGCUUGCUAAAAGACGGACAGCGGCGGAAGGGAGAGUAACGCGUGGUUAUGUACCCUCGAGACCGGGAUAGUGUCGGAAAACUGGCAGUAAUACCGGAUAACAUCUUCGGAUCAAAUGGUGUGAUUCCGCUCGAGGAUCGGACCGCGUACUAUUAGCUAGUUGGAGGGGUAAUGGCCCACCAAGGCUUAGAUGGUUACCGGGUGUGAGAGCAUGGCCCGGCUCACUGGGGCUGAGAGACUGCCAAGACAUCUAGUGAUGGCUGCAGUCGGGAAUCUUCGGCAAUGGACGAAAGUCUGACCGAGCGACGGCGCGUGCGGGAUGAAGGCCUUCGGGUUGUAAACCGCUGUCAGUUAGGAGGAAAUCCAUGAGGGUUCUCUCUCAUGGUUGACCGAUUUUCAGAGGAAGGACGGGCUAAGUUCGUGCCAGCCGCCGCUGUAAUAC
rnacentral:rRNA from 1 species